AACGUAGGGGACAAGCGUUAUCCGGAUUUACUGGGCGUAAAGAGCCCGUAGGCGGUCAGCUAAGUUGGACGUGAAAGCUCCCGGCUUAACUGGGAGAGGUCGGACAAAACUGGUUGACUUGAGGCUGAGAGAGGCGAGCGGAAUUCCCGGUGUAGUGGUGGAAUGCGUAGAUAUCGGGAGGAACACCAGUGGCGAAGGCGGCUCGCUGGCUCAGACCUGACGCUGAGGGGCGAAAGCGUGGGGAGCGAAC
rnacentral:rRNA from 1 species